rnacentral:rRNA from 1 species
GACGAACGCUGGCGGCGUGCCUAAUACUUGCCAGUCGAGCGGACUGAAUGGGAGCUUGCUCUUGUUCGGUCAGCGGCGGACGGGUGAGUAACACGUGGGCAACCUGCCCGCAAGACCGGGAUAACUCCGGGAAACCGGAGCUAAUACCGGAUAACACCGAAGACCGCAUGGUCUUUGGUUGAAAGGCGGCGCAAGCUGCCACUUGCGGAUGGGCCCGCGGCGCAUUAGCUAGUUGGUGAGGUAACGGCUCACCAAGGCGACGAUGCGUAGCCGGCCUGAGAGGGUGACCGGCCACACUGGGACUGAGACACGGCCCAGACUCCUACGGGAGGCAGCAGUAGGGAAUCUUCCGCAAUGGGCGAAAGCCUGACGGAGCGACGCCGCGUGAGCGAAGAAGGCCUUCGGGUCGUAAAGCUCUGUUGUGAGGGACGAAGGAGCGCCGUUUGAAGAAGGCGGCGCGGUGACGGUACCUCACGAGGAAGCCCCGGCUAACUACGUG